AUUGAACGCUGGCGGAAUGCUUUACACAUGCAAGUCGAACGGCAGCACGGACUUCGGUCUGGUGGCGAGUGGCGAACGGGUGAGUAAUACAUCGGAACGUGCCCAGUCGUGGGGGAUAACGUAGCGAAAGCUACGCUAAUACCGCAUACGAUCUAAGGAUGAAAGCGGGGGAUCGCAAGACCUCGCGCGAUUGGAGCGGCCGAUGGCAGAUUAGGUAGUUGGUAGGGUAAAGGCCUACCAAGCCGACGAUCUGUAGCUGGUCUGAGAGGAUGAUCAGCCACACUGGGACUGAGACACGGCCCAGACUCCUACGGGAGGCAGCAGUGGGGAAUUUUGGACAAUGGGCGCAAGCCUGAUCCAGCCAUUCCGCGUGCAGGAUGAAGGCCUUCGGGUUGUAAACUGCUUUUGUACAGAACGAAAAGGCUCUGGUUAAUACCCGGGGCUCAUGACGGUACUGUAAGAAUAAGCACCGGCUAACUACGUGCCAGCCGCCGUAACAC
rnacentral:rRNA from 1 species